rnacentral:rRNA from 1 species
CCCUUAGAUGUUCUGGGCAGCACGCGCGCUACAAUGGUCUUCGCAAACGGAUGCAUUCUCGAAGGAGAAUGCCAAUCUUGGAAUCUAUGCCUUGGUCGGGACAGUUGCUUGCAAUUUUUCGACUCGAACCAGGAAUUCCUUGUAAUCGUGAUUCAUCACAUCACGAUGAAUACGUCCCUGCCCUUUGUACACACCGCCCGUCGCUCCUACCGAUCGAAGAGUUAGAUGAAUUGUUUUGAUCGAUAAGAUUUGACUAUGGUCAACUCUCGUUGUGAAAUUCUGUGAAUCUGACUGUUUAGAGGAAGGAAAAGUCGUAACA